UUUUUAAAUUAAGUUGUAACAGGGACAUCAUAAGUACUCUGUCAGGGAAAGGGACAGCAGCAGAAGAAGGAGGACAGUUGGCUGCCUUUCCUAGUGAUUCUACUUCGGGCUCUGAGAGAAGUCAAUUCAAAGCUGUAUUGGAAGAAGCAGCUCAUUCCUCAGGACUAGCACCUCACCAGAUUUGUCUCUUGCUGCUCUGAUUGCUGAAGGACAUAGCUCUCCCAAGUAUUUG
rnacentral:lncRNA from 1 species